UAUUAAAUUCCUUCUUUAUAUUAUAAUCCUUAUUUAUAUUAUAAUGUUUCAUUCAAUUUAAUUAUUUUUUUAAAUUAAUAAUUAUAUUAAUAACUUUUGUUAUAUUUCUACGUCUUUACAGUCAACAACAAUUAAUAUAUAUUGUAUGAUAUUUCAAUUUUCCGCGCAAUUUUAGAAUGAAUAAGAAAGUGUGAUGCACCAGCCAAUCAGAACGUCGCUUAAUUCGAAACGCGAGACGAAUCAGUGCGCAUCAUAGUGCGCAUCGUAAUGCGCAUGGCGUCAGUCUACAGUUGAAAAUCGUGACAAGAGGACGAAUCAUCGCAAAUUCGGAUUACAUAGUUUAAUUGGUAACAUCAUGAUAGAUCUUCGAAGGCGGGAAAAAUUCCAAUAUGGCCACUAUGUGUUUGUUGAUGACGUGGUAAAAUUUUACAUUUCGUAUGUAUAAAUUUUUAUUUUGUUUUAUUGGAUUAUUGAUGAUUGUUGUUAAGCAAUUCGUAUAUAAUUGUAAUAAAAUUACAUUUACAAAAGAAGUUAAAAGAAAAUGAAAAAAAUUAAAAAUUUAUGAGAAACUUCUAUGGUUUAUUAUAAGAAAAUAAAUUUUAAAAUUUGAUAACGAACAUUUUAUUAAAUUUCAGAUAUUCAAAAAUAAUUGAUAAUAUUUUUAUACAUAAUUUAUAACCAGUUAAAAUAGAAAAGUAAUAUUUUCAAAGCAAAUGCUCGAUAGGAAAAAGAAGAAAAAUAUCAAAAAGAUAUUGCUUCUUUUUCUAGUCCUCAUCACUCCUAUUAAUUUAAUAUUAAUUUCAGAAAAUAUUUGUGACCGCGCGCAAUGCGGUUAAUAGAAUCAGUGUUUGUUUCGUCAUAGUAUUUUUAAUAUUUUUUAGAGCACAAUAGCUCUGAUUAAAUUUAAUUGUUAUAAUGACACGCGAAAUUAGAAUCAGUGUUUAUUCGCCGAAUUACAAAAUAUGUACGAACGCGUUAAUAGUUUCUUAUUUUUAUUUUUUUCUUAUUUUAAACAUUCGUUUCCGGUACAGGGUAGAAUCAGUGCUUUUCUCAAGAGAAUAAGGUGAUCAUCCAUCACGCGAAGAGAUUUCUUCCUUCCUUCUACCUGAUGACAGCCUUCUUCUCGAUGACUUCUGGACGACAACACAGUGAAGGCGUUCGUCGCAUCAUAUGGUGAGUCGCAUGCUUUUUGGUUCCUCCGAUCACUCAAUCAUGUCGUAGGAUGAAAGAUCCGAAUCGACACGA